UACGUAGGGGGCAAGCGUUGUCCGGAUUCAUUGGGCGUAAAGAGCGUGUAGGCGGCCAGGUAGGUCGGUUGUGAAAACUGGAGGCUCAACCCUUCAGACGUCGACCGAAACCAUCUGGCUAGAGUCCGGGAGAGGAGAGUGGAAUUCCGUGGUGUAGCGGUGAAAUGCGCAGAUAUCAGGAAGAACACCCGUGGCGAAGGCGACAUCCUGGACCGGUAUUGACGCUGAGGCGCGAAAGCCAGGGGAGCAAACGGG
rnacentral:rRNA from 1 species